UUUAGGAACAAAGGGAAAUUUUAAAAAUUAUAGAUUCAAAUUUUCAACACGAAAACGAAGCAGCUGCUUUUCAAUACUAAAUAAUUCUUGCAAUCUACUAAGUAUUAGAUGUGAUAGCAAUCUUUUUUUUCUUUUAAACAACUUAAGAUUGUGAUUUCUGAAAAUUAGUGUUACGCAGUGCUAAAAAGGCUUUAAGACAUAAAAUAUUUUUAGAAACAAAGGGGAGUUUAAAAAUUAUAGAUUCAAAUUUUCAACACAAAAACUAAGUAGCUGCUUUUCAAUAGAUUGUGAUUUCUGAAAAUUAGUGCUACGCAGUGCUAAGAAGGCUUUAAGAAAUAGUACCCAUAAAAUAUUUUUAGGAAAAAAGGGAAAUUUUAAAAUUAUAGAUUAAAAUUUUCAGCACAAAAACUAAGUAACUAUUUUUCAAUACUAAAUAAUUCUUGCAAUCUACUAAGUAUUAGAUGGGAUAGCAACAGAGCACAACUUAUAUAUCAAAAUUAGGAAUGAAUUUUUUUCGGGAAAGGAAAUAGGCAAGAAUAGUAGGAAAAGAAAAAGAAAGGAAUAAAGGAAAAAAAAAAAAACUAAACAGGCUUGCCGAAAACCCCAAAAAGGUAAGGCUCAGUUAAGUCGGCAAAAAUGAUCAUAAGCACAGGAUAGCAAUAGGACCAAUACAUUACCGUAGGAAGAAGAUGUAUGCAACGACGAAGUAUCAGAACAGUAGGAACCGGUUGCCUAUGAAUAGGACGUCCAAACUUCCGCUUGUUUAAAACCAUCAUUUUCCACGUUUUUCUCUACUUAUCAUCGUUGCCUCAAAGAAAAGAUACAAAAAGCAAGAAACAGAUAGAAAUAAACAAAACCAAGUAGAAUUAAUAAAACAACAAUGUAUCGAAGUAGUCAACUCCAUCUAAAGUUGCCACAUUUAAUCACAAACAAAGAUAGGAAUAGCAUAUUUGAGUACAAUCAAUUAUCUGUAAAGCUGAGUCCAUCCAAAGCUACUGCAUUUAGUGCCAAACAAAGAUACGAAAACCAGAUUUGAGUACAAAGGAACAUAUGUAAAACUGCUUCCCCACAAUAAUGCCAAACAAAGAUAUGAAAACCAGAUUUGAGUACAAAGGAAUAUCUGUAAAACAGCUUCCCCACAAAUUAUCCAACAACCAAUCAGAAAUAAAAUAUCAGAGGAUCAUAUUUGGGCUACCAACUAAAUUAUAGAGUAGUAGAACAGCGAGUUGAUAAUGAUAGUUACCUGUGGAGUCAUCUAUUAUGCAUGAUUUAAGUGAUGCAUGGUAAGAUUGAUCUAAUGGCUAAGAAGGUUAUAACACAUGAACAGUUUCAUACUUUUAAAAACAUUCUACUUCUCAUGCAAUAAGAUCAGCCAACAUCCUGUAAUCAGCAAUCCUAAUUGAACAACUAUAACACAUUCAUAUUGAUUAAGGAUCACAUAUCGGCAACUGGCUGCCCACAGACGGACCAUCCGAACUUUCCUUAUCAUUAGGGUUAGUCUAGUACAGUCCAGGAUAUCAGUAUUGAACCAUCUUUUAUCAACAUAGAAAGCAGAGCUAUUGACUUGAAAAAAUCCAACUCUAGAGAAUUAUUUAGAAAAGGCAGCAUAUUCACAUCAUCUGAAAUAAAAAAAUAUAUAUCAAUGCGAGCAACUGGUUGCCCACAGACGGACCAUCCGAAGUUUCCUCGUCAUUAGGGUCAAUAAUAAGAUCAAAAAAUUAACCGAAGUUAGUAUAAGGUGGAGUUACUCUGAAGAAGUCAUAGAAGAAAUCCUUGGAAAAGCAAUAGGGGCAUGGAAAGUUUCAGUUUUGAUCAAGAAAAGUAAACCAAAAUUAGUAUAAGGUGGAGUUACUUUGAAGAACUCAUAGAAGAAAUCCUUGAUAAAAGCAAUUGGGCAUGGAAAGCUUCAGUUUUUCAGUAGCCACAGCCCACAUCUCUGCCUUAGAAUUUAGUAAAACCUGAAUAUUUAUAUUGUUAUCCCUAUCUAUAGAUGCAGAGAGCUUCAAUUGAUUAUAUAAUGUCAAGUUUGUCUCUGGGGAAGAGCUUCAAUUGAUUUUGGAGCUUCAAUUUAACAGGAUAAUCUACAUAAGUAACCUUCCUUUUGUGUCAAAUAAUUUAAGGCACAUUCUAUGUAAAUAAUACCAUCCACACAAAAAAAACAGUAUCUAAGGCAUAUAUAAAAUAAACUUCGUAAGAAUUUUCAGACAUCUUUCAAUUUUCAGACAUCUUUCCAGUCAAGUAAUUUUCUAAUACCUUCACAUUUGUCAUGUUAGUCCCAGUUACACUUGCAGAGAGAGUCAAAUAAUUAUAGACUGAGAAAUGGAAAUUUGGCGAAUACUUCGAUGUUAUGUUGGAAAACAGCUAAUAUGAUAGGAGCUUACAAAUUUGUGGCUCAUGGACUAAAAGCCUACAAUCAACCUUAAGAUAUAGGUCGAGGAAGGGACAAUGGAAACCAAGGGUUGGUUGCCGAGAAAUUAGUCCACCCAAAACUCCUUUUUUCCAUUUUUUCCCAUCCUUACCACCUCAAAAGCCAGCAGGAGCAAAAUCUUAAAG
rnacentral:lncRNA from 1 species